rnacentral:tRNA from 1 species
GCCUGGGUGGCUCAGUCGGUUGAGCUACCGACUUCGGCUCAGAUCAUGACCUCACAGCUUGUGGGUUCAAGCCCCACCUGGGGCU